GCCCAAUCAGUCUUAAAAGACUACAAACGUCUUAUCUCUUCAAUUUUAUUUACUUUUCCAAGACGCUUGAGAUUACUCUAGGGCUGCUGAAAUAACUUUGAUGUCUGCCCUUCUCUAUACUCUCAUCCCUUCAUUUCUCGCUUUCUUCCUUCAAUCUGGUGCUUUUGCCCUCUCAGUUUCUGCUUGGAUUUCUGCCGCUUCAGGGACUCGUCCGAUCAGGUAGGCUCCUCUACUACUCUUCAGCGCUUCAUUUGCUAAUAUAUGCACAAGGUUGUUUGCUAAUCUUGGGAUAUGCUCAAACCUACACUCCUUGAAUUUAAGCAAAAGUUGAUGAAUAUCAUGUAAAUACGCACUAAUCAAUGAUUUAUCGGGGCUUUUUGUUUUACAUUUUCUUAUUAUUGAUAAAGAAUCCCCUUCAAUAAUAACUUUUUCCCACUGCAUGUUAAUGCCGAUCUGGAGGGCUUUCCGACACGCUAUUGCUUCCGCCCCAAAGGCUGAGGGAACUCUUUGAUGAACCUCCGUACAUGAUAGAAGAACUGAACCCUUCUUAUCGCGGGCCACAACCCCAAUAGCCGUUUUACUUUGUCUACCAUCGUACGCUGCAUCGAAAUUGAUUUUGACUACCUUGUCCACUGGCUUUGUCCAUAUUUUUACAGGUAUGGAAGAUUGCAACCUAUUUUUACCAACUGCAUCAAGAUCUGAAAUAUAGCUAUGAACAAAUCUCCUUACUUCUUUUCUAGAUUUACCAUCUUUUUUAUGCAAUCUAUUGUUCCUGUCUCCCUAGAUGGCCCAUACUGCAACACAAAAGAUUCGAUGCUGAGGAGUCGAGCUUUGUGAGAAAACCCAGGUUAGCCACUGUAGAAACCCCAUUUGAUUGUCUUGCAAAAACCUAUGAAAAGAUAACUCUCUCCAUACUGCUAUUGUAGCAGGACAUUCCCGGAAGAGAUGGUCCAUAGUUUCAGUUCCUGAACUACAGUGAGGACAUACUGACGUGUUCGUCAGUCUUCUAAGUAGCAUAUUAGCUCGCGUAGUUAGAAAAUUCCAAGAUAUCUUCCAAACUGUAAUUUUAAUUUUUGAAGGAAGAUCAAGUAGCCAUAGUUUUCUGUAGAAGUCCUUGUAGUCAUUUUGUAAAGCAUAAGCUUCAGGGUUAUUUUCAAUGCUUUGUAAUAGUUUAUAGGCGCUCCGUGUUGUGAACUCAUCCGUCGCUUCAACGCUCCAAACUUGGAAAUCUUUGUGCGGUGUUUCAGCUAGUGGGAUACUGAGGAUCUUCUCUGCUACAUCCUCCAGAAAGGUAUGCUCUACCAACUCUUGUUUCCAUGUUCUGCUACUUGAAUCAAUUAGCUCUGCAACUUUACUAUCAUUCAAAUUUGAACUUAAAACUGGUAAUCUAUCACGCGGUAAAACUGGAAUCCAAUAAUCACGACUGAUUGAAAAUUUUGUACCUCGCCCCACCUUCCAACAUAAGCCCUCUGCUAGGAUGCCCUUAGCAGCCCAAAUACUUUUCCAUGUAUACGAUAUAUUAUUCCCCAACUGUGAGUUUAAAAAAUCAACACUUGGAAAAUAUUUCGCUUUUAAUACUUGCGCAACUAAAGAAUUUGGAUUGUUUAUAAUACGCCAUCCUUGCUUAGCUAAAAGUGAAACAUUAAAUUGAGCCAUAUUUCUAAAGCCCAAUCCACCCUCUUCUUUAGGACGGCAUAAGUACUUCCACUGACACCAAUGAAUACCUCUCCUACCAUGCGUUUUUUGCCACCAAAAUUUAGCAAAAAUAUUUUCAAAUUCUCCACAAGGAGUCUUUGGUAAUAAGAAGCAUGACAUAGCGUACGUUGGAAUGGCCUGUAACACCGAUUUAAUAAAGACUUCUUUACCUCAUUGAGAUAACAUUCUAGUACUCCACCCAUCAAUCCUGGUAGCAAUCUUUUCUUUUAAAUGCUGAAAGGAUUCUUUCUUUCAUCGACCAACCAUGUUUGAAAGCCCUAGAUAUCGUUCUAAGUUUGUUGAGAUCCUAACCCCCAAUUUUGCCGAAACUUCAUUCAUUUUUUCUUCUGACGUAUUGGUGCUGAAAAAUAUGGUAGACUUGUUGAAAUUAACGCACUGUCCAGAACACUUUUCAUAUUCCUUCAAAAUUUCCUUUAGUAUACUGGCACCCCUAUCAGAUGCUUCCCCAAACAACAUACAAUCAUCUGCAAAGAGUAGAUGUGAAAUUUCUGGUCCUCUUCUGCUUGCUUUUGCACCCUUUAUCAGUCCCUUUUCUGAAGCCAAUCUCAUUAAAGAUGAUAACCCCUCACUACAAAUCAGAAAAAGAAAGGGGCUCAGCGGAUCUCCUUGACGUAAGCCUCGAGACGGUGAAAAAACUUUUCCACUUCUACCAUUUGUAUUAACUGCAUAGGAUGUUGUGGAAACACAAGUCAUAAUCAGCUUAACCCACUCUGGUGUGAAGCCCAUUCGUAACAUCACUUCCUUCAAGAAUCCCCACUCAACCCUAUCAUAGGCUUUGCUCAUGUCAAGUUUAACUGCCAUGUAUCCUUUUUUUCCUGUGCGCUUUUGCCGAAAAGUAUGUAAGAUCUCAUAAGCUAGUAUCACAUUGUCUGUUAUUAGCCUUCCCAGGACGAACACACUUUGAGCAGCAUCAAUGCAUCUUCCAAUAACUGCUUGUAGUCGAGUUGCAAUUGUUUUUGCCACCAUUUUGUAGAUUACAAAACAUAAACUGAUAGGUCUGAAAUUAACUAUGCUAGUGGGAUUUGGAAUUUUUGGGAUAAGCACAAUGUCGGUAUGAUUUAAAUUACCAAAACUUGCACCGUUAUUUAAAAUUUCCAAGCAAAGAUUGGUUAUUUCCUUACCUACGAUAUGCCAGAAUUUCUGAAAGAAAAUGGCUGGAAAACCAUCAUUGAUUAAAUACUAAAAUUACAUAUUUUAUGUAAUUAAUUUGGUAUAUUUAUGAGAAUGCACCACUAAUUUUGCCAUAUUUAUUGAAUUUUGUGCAGGAAUGUAUUUGGGGACUAAAUAGAAGAAAAAGGGAACAAUUGGGCCAAAUUAAAGAAAGAAGCAAAGAAGGAGCGCCAAAGUAGAAUUUUUCCUAUUUUUAAUUAGCUAAAAAUUUUGUUGAUUUAGUGGGGGAGAUUAUUUUGGGAUAUUUUUGGUCAUGGAAUAUUUUUUUUCCUUAAUUUCCUAUGACUAGUAGGUUCCUAAUUUAGUAAAUCCUCUAGUAUAAAUAGUGCUUGUAUUGUUCAUCAUUUCAUCAAUCAAUCAAAAAAAUAUUUUAGCUUUUGUCUUUCAAUUCUCUCCUUUCUCACGUAGCAUUUGUUAUUUCUUAGCUUGUUUUCCUUCAAUUUUCAUUAGUUCCAGUAGCCUACCAUCCAUUUCACCUUUAUUUUCAACUUUUCAUAAAUUUAUUUAUUGUCUUUAGUUUCUUUAACUUUUAAUUCCUAAAAACUUCCAGCUUUUACUACUUUCCAUUUACAACUUUUUUUUCAAAUUCUCUUUUUCAACCACCCCCAUACUUAAUCACAUCACCCAUCUUUUCACCUUUUCUACCUUAUUUAAUUUAUCAAAUACCAACAUGUCCCAAACCUUAGCCAACUAAACCCAUUUUUAGCUUUAGGCCGAAAUUAGCCUCGUCAAAACCCGUGAGUUACGAACCCGAGCCAUUUAACUCCUAAAAUUCCAGUACUUAUUACUUCUCCGGAUUAAGAGUAUGAUUUUGUCAACUCAUAAAGUCAGAUCAACACUAAGUCAAAAAAGACGUCGUUUGAUUUAGUGUGGUUAGACGUACAGUUGGAAUUCCGAAAGGAACGUUUCUAAUCGGUUUUCUGUGAACACAUUAGCGUGCCAAGUGGAGAUUGCUGUUUGGUUCUGUCAAGGGAAGUAGUAACCGGAUUUAAAUGUUUGACGCGGUUGAGGGCAUUGGUUCGAGUUAGGCUCUUCUAGAACGCAAAGCUGCCGGAGUUCUAAAUCACGAACGUUUCGUGGUUGUUCGAUCGGUAAGAGUUAGUUAUUGGACGUUCCAUAACUAAUUUACACAAGGAAGAGUUGGUGUCUGAGGCGUCCUUGGUAGCUAUAACUAGCUUAUUGGAAAAAAAGGAGUUCAUCCAAUUUCGAGGAUCGGUUCAAAGACGAGGAAAAUUCGCGCCUAAAGCUGAGCUCAUUCUAAUUAAUUCUUCUAAAUAUUUAUUUCACGAUUUUUAUUAUUCUAUUUUCAACUUUUACUUUUGACAUUAUUUUUCUGUUAAUUUUAGGUUUUCAAAUUUUUAUCCCCCCAAACGUCUUGGGCAUGACAGCUGCCCCGACAAAAAUUUGGUCAAGAGAGGAACAAUUUGCAGUAAACCAGUCUCUGAGGGAUCGACCCUACUCCCUAUACUGCAUAAUUUGCAAACUAAGGCGUAGGUUUAUAUUGGUGGAUUCGACAACCAUCAGUUUUGGUGCCGUUGCCGGGGAUUGGCAACACUUAUAAUUGUUUAAAUCAUCUUCAUGACCAGGUCUUCAUUCAGAGGUCUCGAAUACGACCCAGAGAUCGAAAAAUCAGCACGAGCACGACGUAAAGAGACGGAAGUUCUUAAGUGUGUAGCAGCAAUUGAACGUGGAAAACAAGUCGAAGUGGUUGAACCUGAGUCUAAACCUCUUCCUGCAACAAAAGAAGUAGAAGACAACCUCGGCGAACCAGAAAGGAUGGCAAACUGAACCAUUCGUCAACUAGCCGCUGCUCCCAACGAGCAAACACCGUUAUGCAUCAACUAUCCAAUCGGAGAAACCCCAUUCGAAUUGAAGUCAGGCCUGAUCCACCUUUUGCCCACUUUUCGAGGCUUGAAGAAUGAGAAUCCACAUACCCACUUGAGAGAAUUCCACAUGGUCUGCUCAAGCAUGAAACCACAGGGAGUAACCGAAGAUGAAAUUAAACUUCGGGCCUUUCCUUUUUCUUUAGUUGAUACAGCAAAAGAAUGGUUAUUUUACUUACCCCCUGGUUCUAUUACAACGUGGGAUGACUUAUCUCGUGUUUUUCUUGACAGAUUUUUCCCAGCAUCGCGAGCAGCUGAACUUAGGAGAGACAUAGUGGGAAUUCGCCAAAUGGAGAGUGAAUUGCUUUACGACUAUUGGGAGUGGUACAAAAACUGUGUGCAAGUUGUCCUCAACACGGUUUGACCGAACAAUCACUUCUUCAAUAUUUCUACGAGGGUUUGCUCCCUAUGGAAAUUAAAAUGAUUGACGCAGCUAGUGGAGGGGCGCUUGUCAAUAUGACUCCUCAAAGGGCAAGAGAAUUGAUAUCCACCAUGGCGGAAAAUUCUCAACAGUAUCGGCCAAAUUCAGAACCCACAAGACGGGUUAAUGGGGUAAACGUUUCAUCCUUAGAAGAUAAAUUGGAUAAGCUCACUAAUGCUGUUCAAUCUAUGCUUACAGAAAAGAAGAAUCAGACCCAAUUGUGUGGGAUAUGUACUACGUCUGAACAUCCGACGGAUUUGUGCCCAAUCCUUAACGAAAAUUCAACGGUACAUGUCGACGCUGUCGGAGGUUUUUCGGGACCUCUACAAAGACGCUAUGAUCCUUUCUCCAACAGUUACAAUCCUGGGUGGAAGGAUCAUCCCAACUUGAGUUACGGAGCUAAUCCCCGAUAUAAUCCAUCGUUCCAGUCAAGACCACCGCAACUGCCACCCAAGCCAAGCACAUCUCUAGAAGCUAUUGUGGAAAGACUUGCCGUCGAUGUUGCGAAGUACCAACAGAGGACAGAUGCAUCAAUACAGGAGUUAACUAAUCAAGUUAGUAAACUCUCGAUGGCAGUUAAUCGAUUGGAAUCUCAAGGUAAAUUACCUUCCCAGACAGAGCCUAAUCCUCGGCAGAAUGCAAGUGCAAUAACUCUUCGUAGCGGAAAAGUCCUGGAAACAGUUCCAGACAAAAGUCAUGGGCAAGACAAUGAACGGGAAAAACAAAUCUCUGAUCCAAAAGCCAGACCGGAAUCAGAAAUUCAGAAACCAGUUGUGGUGCCACCUCCUUUUCCAGGGAGACUCUCGAAGGAUAAGAAAGAAAAGGAGGAAAAAGAAAUCCUCGAAACGUUCAGGAAGGUGGAGGUAAAUAUUCCUUUGCUCGACGCUAUCAAGCAAAUCCCUCGUUAUGCGAAAUUUCUCAAGGAAUUGUGCACUAGCAAAAGGAGGUUAAUAGGUAACGAAAGAGUAAAUGUGGGAGAAAAUGUCUCCGCGGUACUGCAAAAGAAAGUUCCGCCUAAAUACAAGGACCAAGGUAUGUUUGCUAUUUCUUGUGAGAUAGGUAACGUAGGCAUUAAGAAAGCCAUGUGUGAUUUAGGGGCUUCCAUUAAUGUUAUGCCUUAUCCUAUUUAUAAGUUGAUUAACGCGGGUCCUUUGAAAAAGACAGGAGUAAUAAUCCAGUUGGCGGACAGGUCAGUCAUCUAUCCCGAAGGGUUGCUUGAAGACGUCCUUGUUAAAAUUAACGAAUUAGUUUUCCCUGCAUAUUUCUACAUUAUUAAUAUGGAGGAUGAUAACUCAACUAAUUCGUCUGAUAUUUUGCUUGGAAGGCCAUUUUUAAGUACCGCAAGCGCAAAAAUUGAUGUUCAGAGUGGAACAUUGACAAUGGAGUUUGAUGGCGAAAUCGUGAAAUUCAAUGUCUACGAAGCCAUGAGUCAUCCUAACUCAUUGUCAAAUAUUUCCAGUAUCGAUAGUAUAGAUUGUUUAACUCAAAAUUAUUCUGAAUAUCAUGACUUUGAUGAAUUGGAAACAGUCUUUUACAGAAGCAUUGACAUGGAUGUAUUGAGUCGUCUCGAGGAGUUAGCAGUUAUAGAAGAUCCGUUGCGAGAAAUUGUCAAACACUUGGAGACUCAACCAUCGUCGACGAGUUGAGGUAACCAUCUUGAACUAUUACCUUCCCAAGUUGAAAUGUUGCCUUCGAUUUUGCAGCCACCAACCUUGGAGCUCAAAGCGUUACCAGACCACCUCAAGUAUGUCUUUUUGGGAGAGAAAGACACCCUACCGGUAAUAGUGUCAAACAGACUAACCAAAGACGAUGAGGAAAGUCUAGUUCGAGUUCUGAAGGAAUAUAAGGAAGCUAUUGGUUGGACAAUAGCCGACAUAAAAGGGCUAAGUCCAUCCACCUGUAUGCACAGAAUUUCCAUCGAAGAUAGCACGAAACCAAAGAGAGAUGCUCAGAGGCGCCUUAAUCCACCCAUGACGGAGGUAGUAAAGAAGGAGAUCCAGAAAAUGUUGGAUGCUGGAAUGAUAUACCCGAUCUCUGACAGUGAUUGGGUUAGCCCAGUUCAUGUCGUGCCCAAGAAAACUGGCGUGAUAGUGGUGCAAAAUUCAUCAGGAGAGCUAGUUCCUACCCGAGUCCAGAAUGGAUGGAGGGUUUGCAUCGAUUACAGAAAGUUGAAUGCAGCUACCCGGAAGGACCAUUUCCCACUUCCCUUCAUCGAUCAAAUGCUCGAGCGAUUAGCUGGUAAGACUCAUUAUUGUUGUCUCGAUAGAUAUUCAGGAUUUUUCCAAAUUCCGGUGGCGCCUGAGGAUCAAGACAAAACAACUUUCACGUGCCCAUUUGGAAUGUUUGCGUAUAGAGGAAUGCUGUUUGGACUCUGUAAUGCUCCGGCCACCUUCCAGAGAUGUAUGGUAAGCAUAUUCUCUGAUUACGUCGAGAAAAUCAUUGAAGUCUUCAUGGAUGACUUCACGGUGUACGGUAACUCUUUUAAUGAAUGUCUCGAUAAUCUUGCUAAGAUAUUACAAAGAUGCCUAGAAUUUAAUAUUGUUUUAAACUAUGAAAAAUGCCACUUCAUGGUUGACAAAGGAUUGAUUUUAGGUCAUAUAGUUUCCUCGGAAGGUAUUGAGGUCGAUAAAGCAAAAACAGAUAUUAUUAACUCAUUACCUUAUCCCACAUCUGUGAGGGAAAUUCGUUCGUUUCUUGGACAUGCAUGAUUUUACAGAUGAUUCAUAAAAGACUUCUCGAAGAUCGCGCAACCGCUUUGCAGUCUGUUACAAAAAGGAUAAAGAAUUUAAAUUUGACCAGACUUGUAAAGAUGCAUUUGACGUAUUGAAGCAGAAAUUGGUCUCUACCCCCAUAGUGUAACCACCGAAUUGGAACUUCCCGUUUGAAAUCAUGUGUGAUGCAAGUGAUCGAAGUGUGGGAGCUGUUCUUGGCCAAAGAAUAGAGAAAGAGCCUCAUGUUAUCUAUUACGCUUCGAAAACCUUGGAUGCUGCCCAAAGCAAUUACACAACCACCGAGAAAAAAUUAUUAGCUGUUGUGUUUGCUUUAGAUAAAUUUAGAUCUUACCUGUUGGGAACUAAAGUAAUUAUCUUUUCUGAUCAUGCAGCUUUAAAGUAUUUAAUAGGGAAGAAGGAGGCAAAACCUCGACUGAUCAGGUGGAUUCUACUCCUACAAGAAUUUGAUUUUGAAAUCCGGGAUAAGAAGGGAUGCGAAAACUUAGUAGCUGACCAUCUGAGUCGAUUACCGAUUCCAACAGAUGACACACCAUUGAAAGACAACUUCCCAGAUGAAAACUUGUUUUCAGCAAAUGCGGUUCAUCCUUGGUACGCAGACAUAGUAAACUAUCUCGUCACAGGUACUAUACCUUCAGAAUUACCUAGGUCCAGGAAAGAUAAUAUUAAAAAGGAUGCUCGAUAUUACAUUUGGGACGAUCCUUACUUAUGGAAGCAUUGCUCCGAUCAGGUAAUCCGACGGUGUGUAGUAGAAACAGAGGUACAGUCUAUCUUAACUUUUUGUCACUCUUAUGCAUGUGGAGGACACUUUGGACCUAAACGCACUGCACAUAAAAUUCUUGAGUGUAGACUAUUUUCGCCAAGUAUAUUUCGUGACGCCUUCUUAUUCUGUAAAACCUGUGAAAAAUGUCAAAAAGUCGGUAAUCUUAGCCGUCGAAAUGAGAUGCCCCUUACUCCUAUCCAUAUUUGUGAAAUUUUCGAUGUGUGGGGCAUCGAUUUUAUGGGUCCUUUUAUUUCUUCUUUCGGUAAUUUCUAUAUACUCUUAGUUGUUGAUUACGUUUCUAAGUGGAUAGAGGCAAAGGCUACUCGCAAUGAUAAUGCUAAGACUGUGGUUGACUUUCUUAAAAGUUCUAUCUUUUCCAGGUAUGGCACCCCACGAGCAUUAAUCAGCGACAGAGGAACUCAUUUCUGCAAUAAACUCGUAAGUGCACUUAUGGAGAAGUAUGGAGUGACUCAACGAAUUUCUACUGCCUACCAUCCACAAACAAACGGACAAGCUGAAGUGUCAAAUCGAGAAAUCAAGUCCAUAUUGGAGAAGACUGUUAAACCUAACAGAAAGGAUUGGAGCUUGAGACUAAACGACGCACUUUGGGCUUAUAGGACAGCUUACAAGGGACCAAUAGGCAUGUCACCUUAUCGACUUGUUUUUGGUAAACCGUUCCAUCUCCCGGUCGAAUUAGAGCAUAAAACAUUUUGGGCAGUUAAGCAGUGUAAUAUGGAGAUGGAGACCGCAGGAAGAGCUCGAAAGUUAGACAUUCUGGAACUCGAAGAAAUUAGAAACGAUGCAUAUGAAAAUGCUCGAGUUUAUAAAGAAAAGACGAAGGCAUUCCACGAUAAGAUGAUCACUAGGAAGCAGUUUUCAAUAGGACAAAAAGUUCUCCUAUACGACUCCACCUUAAAAAUUUUCGCUGGUAAGCUUCGAUCCAAAUGGAUAGGUCCAUUUACUAUCACUAAUCUAUUCUCAAAUGGUGUAGUGGAAAUUCAAAGCGAAGAAACCCGAAAGUGCUUUAAGGUGAAUGGUCAACGACUGAAACCCUUCUACGAGAAUUUUCAAAUACACACAGUUGAGGAGAUUGUUCUCGAAGAGCCCAAAACUUGAAUAACACAGGUCGUCGAGCUAAAUGACGUUAAACAAAGCGCUGUUGGGAGGCAACCCAAAUUUUCUUUUCCUUUAUGCAAAUAAAAUUUUUGGUAAAAUGGAAAAUGGAAAUGCAUGUCAAGGAUUAGUUCUGUCUAAGGAAAGACUUGGUACUUAAGUAUGUCCAUUGUGACUCACCUCUCUUUCCUGGGAACUUACUUGGUGCAUUUAUCACGACUGUUUUACCAAAUCUCGUAAUCUUGGUUUUUAAUAAUUUAUUUCUCGAGUUUAUAACUUAGCUAAUAAAUUUGAAAAAAAAACAUUUUAAUUUUCCUAUUAUUAUUAUUAUUUAUUUAUUUUUACUAUUUUAUUUUUGCAGGAAAACAUUCCAAGACAAAAUUAAAUUCCACAUGUCAACCCAUAAAAUUCUUUUUUUCAGUUAAGGCCCACUCUACCUACGAGACCAUCCUCCACGACGUUGAAAUACAUGGGAAAUUUAUUUUUCUUCUUUUGUCUACUUAAUUUUACCUUAUAUCCUUUAAUAUUACAUUGGGACAAUGUAAAACAAGUAGGGGGAGGGAAACAUAAAUUGGUUCUAAUUGCUUAUCUGUCAUCGCUAUUUUUGCAUGUUUUCGGUAAAAGGUAAAAUUUUCUUUUAAUUGGGAUGGUACACUUAUGGUUUGACUGAUUUAGCUAUUUAAUUCUUUACACAUGAAACUUUUCAAUAACCUAGACUUAGUAGGUAAGAAAUUUUUGGAAUUAUGAGUUUGCUUGAUUGCCUACCUUUUAUCAUAUGUUUUUAUUUUUCUGUUCAAAAAAAAAAAAAAACUCCUCUGAUACAAAUGUUAAGAGUGACAAUUGGGGUUGUGCAUCGGGCUAAGUAACCGGAACGUGGUGCUUGGGUUGUCAUCACAUCGCGCGUAAAAAGGUUCGUGUGGCUAUCCAAUUUAUUUGCACUCACUCCGCUGACAAGUUAUUAUGAGUAGGGCGAAAUAACCCGCUUAGAAACGUCCGAAUUGAGUAACCGGAACAUGGUGCUUGGGUUGUCAUCAUGUCUCGCGUCAAAAAAUUCGAUAAUGUCCUAAGUAAAAAAAUAAAUAAAUAAAAUAAUAAAAUGAAAGGUAAGUCUAUCAAGCUCUCAUAAAUUCUGAAAUAUAUUUACUUACUGCUUAGGCUAGGUUAUUUGAGUUGUUAAUGUGCUAGGAUUGAAUUGUUGAAUUGUGCAAACCAUGAGUAUCAAGUCCUAUUUUGGAGAAAUUUUUUCCUUUUGCAGAUACAUACAAAAUGCUCGAGGACUAGCAUAAGCUAAGUAGGGGGAAUUGAUUAAAUACUAAAAUUACAUAUUUUAUGUAAUUAAUUUGGUAUAUUUAUGAGAAUGCACCACUAAUUUUGCCAUAUUUAUUGAAUUUUGUGCAGGAAUGUAAUUUGGGGACUAAAUAGAAGAAAAAGGGAACAAUUGGGCCAAAUUAAAGAAAGAAGCAAAGGAGGGCCAAAGUAGAAUUUUUCCUAUUUUUAAUUAGCUGAAAAUUUUGUUGAUUUAGUGGGGGAGAUUAUUUUGGGAUAUUUUUGGUCAUGGAAUAUUUUUUUUCCUUAAUUUCCUAUGACUAGUAGGUUCCUAAUUUAGUAAAUCCUCUAGUAUAAAUAGUGCUUGUAUUGUUCAUCAUUUCAUC
rnacentral:lncRNA from 1 species